UAUAAAAGGUGGGCUGGAGAACUCAGUUGGGAGGCUGCCAAUGGAGGAGCCAGACCCCUCCUAUGAGCUCCUGAGCUGGGAGGCUGCUGCAGACCCCAAGGGAGCCGAGGACUGGUCAGGACCACCAGGGCCAUUUACAGACCUGAGCACGGAGGAGCUGCAAACGCUGACAGAGGCCUUCUUCCAGGAUGACCCUUUCCAGAGCCAGUACCCCGACGGGGAGUUGGGAAGUGGCCUGGGGUAGCUGACCCCUGUCUGGCUGCAACGCUGAGAGUCAGGCGGAUCCAAGAGGGAUUCUCCAGUGGAUCUACCCUGCAAUCUGAUUACAUGCUUCUCACACCAAUGGUGGCAUACAGGGGAUGUUUGUUUUCUGCAAGCUGAGCCAGAAGAAAAAAACACAGCUGCAGGUAGCAAGGCGUACCAAUAACCUAAGCAGAAGAUUCAUAGCAAGUCAUCUCCAGCUCUAGGUCCGAGGGACAAAUAUUCUGUUGGUUGAGUUCUUCACCCUCCUUUUCUCUAACUGCAAGGAUAUGACCCACUACUCUCAGCAGAGUGACAGUACUUAGCGCUGAAACAGUGGCUAAGGUAAGAAUUUGGUCCAGAUGCCCUAGGACUGCCAGAGGCUCCAGAGCUACUGAGAACCUUGGACAUACUUCAUAAAUUCCCUAGGCCCAGGUCUGCUAUGUAUGCUUUGCCAAUGAAGAGGGACUUUACUGGUCUGGAGUUUUUUGUGGAAAAAGAGCUCUAAUGGUAGAACAUAUUACAGAAUGUUAAAAAUGCUUCUGUGGAUCUCAGGCUACGCCUGGUAUAACAAAAGAGUCUAUUCAAAAUGUAUUGGAUGCCACAAAGGUGGUGCAAGAUGGGGGGCCUUGUCCUCUGUUAGUUCUUUGUGGUGUAACAAAGAAAAAGGAGCCCUGAUGCGUAUGCUAUGGGACUGCCCAACUGUCAGGUAUCUGUGAGACAAGGUGGACGCAAGAGUGGAAGUAGUGGUUGGUUUCAGCAACCAAACCUCAGCUGAAAACUAGAUCCUAGAUUAUGGACCUCCUAUGCCGGGUUUAACUCCACCACAAAGACUUUGGCUCUUGAGAGCUGUAGUGGUUACCAAGCGCUUGAUUUGACAACAAUGGAGGAGCAGGCUUAUGCCCGGAAUAGAUCAGUGAUAUUCAGACCUGUCUGAGGUAGCAGGGAAAGAAAGAAUAGCUUAUCAAUGUAGAGAGCAAUUUAUGAAUUUGAAUAAAUGCAGACCCCAUUUCUCGAUACAUUUGGAUAAAGAAUACUGAGAUAGAUCAAACAAUAUUAGACUUCCAUUCCACCUGCUUUUCCUUUCCCUCCUCCCCCCGGUCUCCUCUUUCCCUUUUUUGCCUGUUUGUGUAUGUCUUUUACUUAAUUUUUAUUUUUUAUUGUUACCCCCACGAUACCAUGUUAUGUCUGUGUAAUAUUGUCUGAUUUUGUAUUGUCUGGUCUUGCAGCUUUGAGAAAAUUGUAAAGUUUUGUUAUUGCAUAAUUUUAUUGGCUAUCCUGUGAAAUGAGCAGCAUGUGGUUGACCUUUUUGUAUUUUGUUUGUUUAUGAAAAUUAAUAAAUUAAUCACAAAAUAGCAGUCC